rnacentral:lncRNA from 1 species
UAAGGCAAAAUUUAGCGCUAUGUUAAGCAAUCGUAAUUGGACUUAUGUAGAAGUCACAACUAUCUGAGGCCGGUCAAUAAUAAUGUAGGCAACUAACACAAGUUAGGAGUCUUGAUUAGUGAACCAAGUCCCAACAACUUGCCAUGCCAAAAAGAAGAAGAGAAUUAAUCUUGUAUUGGUUUAAGCCUUUUACAUGAUUUAGGAAACAACCUAUCCUUAAUGCAAAGCCAUUCACUUGAUCAAUUGAUCAAGAUGAAUUAGAUUUGGAUCAAGGAAGAUUAAGUCUCCC